rnacentral:rRNA from 1 species
UACGGAGGGAGCUAGCGUUAUUCGGAAUUACUGGGCGUAAAGCGCACGUAGGCGGCUUUGUAAGUAAGAGGUGAAAGCCCAGGGCUCAACUCUGGAAUUGCCUUUUAGACUGCAUCGCUUGAAUCAUGGAGAGGUCAGUGGAAUUCCGAGUGUAGAGGUGAAAUUCGUAGAUAUUCGGAAGAACACCAGUGGCGAAGGCGGCUGACUGGACAUGUAUUGACGCUGAGGUGCGAAAGCGUGGGGAGCAAACAGG